CCCUUAGAUGUUCUGGGCCGCACGCGCGCUACACUGAUGCAUUCAACGAGCCUAUCCUUGACCGACAGGUCCGGGUAAUCUUUGAAUCUGCAUCGUGACGGGGAUAGAUUAUUGCAAUUAUUAAUCUUCAACGAGGAAUGCCUAGUAGGCGCAAGUCAUCAGCUUGCGUCGAUUACGUCCCUGCCCUUUGUACACACCGCCCGUUGCUCCUACCGAUUGGGUGUGCUGGUGAAAUGUUCGGAUCGGCCGUUUGUCGCGGUUUCCGCGUCAUGUGGCUGAGAAGUUCAUUAAACCCUCCCACCUAGAGGAAGGAGAAGUCGUAACA
rnacentral:rRNA from 1 species